GACGAACGCUGGCGGCGUGCUUAACACAUGCAAGUCGAACGGAAAGGCCCUGCUUUUGUGGGUGCUCGAGUGGCGAACGGGUGAGUAACACGUGAGUAACCUGCCCUUGACUUUGGGAUAACUUCAGGAAACUGGGGCUAAUACCGGAUAGGAGCUCCUGCUGCAUGGUGGGGGUUGGAAAGUUUCGGCGGUUGGGGAUGGACUCGCGGCUUAUCAGCUUGUUGGUGGGGUAGUGGCUUACCAAGGCUUUGACGGGUAGCCGGCCUGAGAGGGUGACCGGCCACAUUGGGACUGAGAUACGGCCCAGACUCCUACGGGAGGCAGCAGUGGGGAAUAUUGCACAAUGGGCGGAAGCCUGAUGCAGCAACGCCGCGUGCGUGAUGACGGCCUUCGGGUUGUAAACCGCUUUCGCCUGUGACGAAGCGUGAGUGACGGUAAUGGGUAAAGAAGCACCGGCUAACUACGUG
rnacentral:rRNA from 1 species